rnacentral:tRNA from 1 species
GCCAACGUAGCUCAGCUGGUAGAGCCACUGAUUUGUAAUCAGUUUGUCGGGGGUUCGAAUCCCUUCGUUGGCUCCA